AAGUCGUAACAAGGUUUCCGUAGGUGAACCUGCGGAAGGAUCAUUAACACGUAUCCAAACGUAAAAAACCCCCCCCGUCUCUGGUAAAUCAUAGCCCGGAAAGUAGUUUUGAUUCAGAGACCUCUGGCUACGUGAGAACAUUGGAACAGUUACAAUCGAGCGGUAGUUUCAUAGGCAUUGUUUCCCCAAGCAGUUAGUGUCUGAAAGUGUCACUGAUUGUGCAAGGAUAGCGCUUCAACGAUUCCUGUAGACCGUACACUCGGGCAGGAGCUAUGCCAAAGGGUCCCCAUGCCCCCUUAUAACCCCACAGUUUAAUGUGAAGCUCAAUGUAAUACAUUGGGUAAAAAAACCGAACAACUGUUAACAAUGGAUAUCUUGGUUCUC
rnacentral:misc_RNA from 1 species